ACGCUGGUAGCUCAAUUGGCAGAGCAGCGGUCUCCAAAACCGCAGGUUGGGGGUUCGACUCCCUCCCAGCGUGC
rnacentral:tRNA from 1 species